GACGAACGCUGGCGGCGUGCUUAACACAUGCAAGUCGAACGGAAAGGCGCUGCUUUUGUGGGGUGCUCGAGUGGCGAACGGGUGAGUAACACGUGAGUAACCUGCCCUUGACUUUGGGAUAACUUCAGGAAACUGGGGCUAAUACCGGAUAGGAGCUCCUGCUGCAUGGUGGGGGUUGGAAAGUUUCGGCGGUUGGGGAUGGACUCGCGGCUUAUCAGCUUGUUGGUGGGGUAGUGGCGUACCAAGGCUUUGACGGGUAGCCGGCCUGAGAGGGUGACCGGCCACAUUGGGACUGAGAUACGGCCCAGACUCCUACGGGAGGCAGCAGUGGGGAAUAUUGCACAAUGGGCGGAAGCCUGAUGCAGCAACGCCGCGUGCGGGAUGACGGCCUUCGGGUUGUAAACCGCUUUCGCCUGUGACGAAGCGUGAGUGACGGUAAUGGGUAAAGAAGCACCGGCUAACUACGUG
rnacentral:rRNA from 1 species